CGGCGCAAUUUUCCGUCUCGUAAACGGUCGUUGCCAUUUGAAACGGUUGAUGCCAUUUCCGACCAUGUCCGAUUGCGUCCGCUCUCCGAUCUUGAAUUCCGAAUGCUUCGUGAACGGAAUUAAAACAUGGCGGACGUAGAGGAGCCAGGACCUGCAUCAGGUCACUUGGAGUCAGUUAAAAACAGCACAGGGUGGAAUGUUUUUUUCCGCUCAGUUGCCUUUAGGUUGGACAAAAGGCUGUUCCAGUGAAAUAUCCAGUGUUCCAGUGGAGUCUCAAAAGGAUUACAGGUUGCUUAAUCAGAUGAAGAGAGAAUGUUAAAGAAUAUUCCAUGUCCAUAGCGGUG
ensembl:lncRNA